CGGUGGAGCAUGUGGUUUAAUUCGAUGAUACGCGAGGAACCUUACCUGGGCUAGAAUGCGGUUUGACCGGGGGUGAAAGCCCUUUAUCAAACUAAGGUGUGACGAGCGCAACCCCUAUCAGUAGUUGCCAUCGGGAUGUCAAGUAUCAUGGCCUUUAUGCCCAGGCUACAUACAUGGGGGGUACAAGGGCUGCCACUUGGCAACAAGGCGCUUCCCAAAAAACCUCUCUCAGUUCAGAUUGCAGUGCAACUCGCCUGCAUGAAGCUGGAAUCACUAGUAAUCGAGAUCAGCAACGCUACGGUGAAUACGUUCCCGGACCUUGCACACACCGCCGUCAAGCCAUGGGAGCCGGGUGUACCUAAAGACGGUAACCGAAAAAGAGCUGCCUAUGUAAACUGGGUGACUGGGGCUAAGUCGUACAAGGU
rnacentral:rRNA from 1 species